rnacentral:rRNA from 1 species
AUUCCAGCUCCAAUAGCGUAUAUUAAAGUUGUUGCGGUUAAAAAGCUCGUAGUUGGAUUUCUGCCGAGGACGACCGGUCUGCCCACUGGGUGUGUAUCUGGUUCGGCCUGGGCAUCUUCUUGGAGAACGUAUCUGCACUUGACUGUGUGGUGCGGUAUCCAGGACCUUUACUUUGAGGAAAUUAGAGUGUUUCAAGCAGGCACACGCCUUGAAUACAUUAGCAUGGAAUAAUAAGAUAGGACCUCGGUUCUAUUUUGUUGGUUUCUAGAACUGUGGUAAUGAUUAAUAGGGAUAGUUGGGGGCAUUAGUAUUUAUUAGCUAGAGGUGGAAUUCUCUAAUUUGAUAAAGACUAACUUAUGCGAAAGCAUUUGCCAAGGAUGUUUUCAUCG